AUUUUUUUUUCCUUUUGUUCUGGUUCUUUUCUUUUUAUUUUCUUUUUUUUCCUGUGCAAUCCGUUUCCGGUUCCGUAUGUUUUGCCACGUGCCGUGUACUGAUGGGCAUUGAGAACAACCAAUCAUUUAUUAAGAAAUCACAGAUUGGACCGUUGCAUCAUAUCUAUCAUUGAUUUACAAUCAAACGGCUGAGGGAGGCCUGUGAAUACGUGGCACAUCAUCAAUCAAUAACUCCCCUAACCAUUCCUUUUUCUUCGGUUUUUCAAUUUUUUCUGGCUAUCUCAUUUUUUACACGUCUUCGUUUUGUGUUUAAGGCUCCUCGUGCGCGCGAAUGUGACUGGUUGUUCGCGGUUCCCACGGUCAUUUCUCUGUUUCCAUAGACAUGUAUCCCCUUCGUGUCCGGUGUGAUUAACAAGGAAUGGGCGGUUGAGGCAUGCAUGCAAGCCACACGCACCCCACUUGUUUUUGCAGAAAAAACCUAAUACUCUAAGAAAUCUUGAAGCAAUCCUUCCACCGUUUUUACCUUACUACACUUUUUAAUGAAAGCCCCAUAUACUUCUGAGAAAUAUAACACGAAAAAGAGAAAAUUCUGUUUUCAGGGAUGGCACUGUAAUCCAAGGAAAUACAAGGGUGUUUUUGCAAAAACACAUCCAAAUCCUAUCUCCUGCCUACCCAUCCCAACGCCGCCCGUGGACCGGCGCCUCUCGCCCUCCUCCUGCCAUCGCCGCAACCGCUGUUUCAGCAUCUCCUCCUGGUGGCUGGCGGCGCUGCCCACCUAAGCGAGGCUCCCCUCCAUGCCGUGAAGGCGGCGACAAGGCAGCAGGGCCGCACGCAAGGCCAGGACGGCCGCACGCGGCUACUUCGGCUGGGGUUGCAGGGAGAUGACGUGGUCGGCACCGACCACCCAUGCCCCACGGCGGCGUCGGCCCUCCCCCUAAUCCUCCAGCACCAACCUUCCCCCUACCCCUUCCCUCUGGAGGCGAAGUCCUGCUUCGCCGUCGUGGAACUUGACGAUGGCCACAUAGGCGGGGAUCGGGGAGGCCGCGGUGGCACAGGAGUCGACGAGGUUGGUGGCGGCGGAGCACGAGACUGCGGUGGCACGGGUGCCUUCCGCCGUCCCUCUUCCGUGGCAAAGGAGCGCAUAGGCAUGGCGUCCGUCGGAGCCGACGCCCCCUUGUCACGAUUCUAGGUCUUUCUCGCGAAGGAUUUGGUCACCAAGGAGAAUUCGAGAGAGAGAGAGAAUCGAGAGGGAUUUGUUGAGGAAGAAGAGGAAGAUAGAGGAGGAAGACGAUAGAAGCAGCAGAGAUAUUCGAAUUGAGUUUCUGUUUGUUGAUUAUAAUAAUACGCCUUCUCUCUAUCGCUGCUGGCCUAUAUAGCAAUACGCUAUCAAGCCUCACUCACUAGCCGUGGCCCAGCCGAUAGUUACUGGGUCCACUCACUCGCUGGAAAGCGCUUGUCGGGCUGUCAUUAACGAAUGGGCCGACCCCCCGUUCGGCCCAUUGCUUCGUGAUUUGAAUUGCCCGGUUCUUGAGCUGCUGCUGCCGUCGUGACACCCCUUCACCACAGGCCACAUGUGGUGGCAAAGGGGUCUGCUGCAGCAGUGAAAUCGGCCGCUCGACCGCCGCCCGUCGUCUCCCCUCUUCUUCUACCCCCUGUGGCGGCAAAAGGGCAUGCUGCAGAGCCGCCGAGAUGCAAGUCCGUCAGCGGUGGCAGCAGCGGGGCUGGCGUAGGUGUCCCCCUCCCCCGCGGCCACGUCUGGGCCAGUGGCGGUUUGGGGACCGUCGCCGGUGUCCCCCUUCCUCCUCCUCUCUAUCCCCCCGCGACGGUGUUGUGGCCGGUGACGAUGUUGGAGCCGAUGCCUGUGUCCCACUCUCCUCGCGGCGGCGUUGUGAUCCGCGGCGGCGCUGUGUUGUAUAAUUUACCUAUCAUUAUUGAGUAAUCAUAGUACUUAGACCAUAGUUAGUCAUUCGUCGUUGUUGCAUGUACAUGUUAUUCAUGAUCAUCACAAAAUGAUCUUUAGUCAAAUCAUGAAUUCUUUGGAAUGUGUGAGAUCGGUUGUAUUGUACGAAUUGGUACUUUCUAGCAGUCAGGCAAAGUACUUUCUUGUGAAUCUGGAUGAUAACAUGAGUUUGAUUAUCUUAUUGUCCUUCUUUAUCUUUUGUGUGCUUUCUGCUGUGUUCUUAAAGAUGAUGAAUUUACUCUUAACGAUGGUCAUUAUCCAUCUCCCUUUAUCUCCCUGUCAGCAUUUCACGUUCAUAGUAUUGAACGCAAUCGGUUGCUUGCUAACUAAUGAAAGUUCGGUAUUUUUGUUCCAGGGUUUUUCUGUCCUGCACUAGCGAAAGCUGUCAAGAUCAUGAAAAGAAGCCAUAAUGAUGGCACAAUAUUUUCGAAGAAGGGAUAUGAUGAACAGUAGCCAUUUGAUUUCAAGACCGAUGAAGAGGAGGCUAUUGAGAUUUUUAUUGGGAGUCAGAGCAAAGUAUUUUAGAGCCACCUUCAAAGAACGUUGUCAGCUGCAGCACUGGUGCUGUAAGAUAAACAAUGGCCUUGUGAUUCCAAAAGAUGUUCUUUGAUGGACUUAUUCAUUUGCUACAACAAUCAAGUUUAUAGCAGGGACCUUCUAUAAUCCUACCAAAGGCACCCUUCAAUUCAACAAUUUGAAUCAGCCAAUGAAAGCCUAUUAUAUUUGUUGAGCUUAAUUAUAACAAGUAAAGAAUCUUGCUGCAUGGAUUCAGAUGGUAUUGUAUUUUCUGUGCUGCCCUGAAGGCCAGAUGAAGUUAUUGCUAACCAGACAGAACAGUUACUAUCAUGAAGUUUUCCUGGGGCCACAUGAAGACCGAGUGCAUGUUGAUUCUUAUCUGGGUUAUGUUCGACUCGGCCCUCACCGUGAAGAUCAUCCUUGGAAUGCUGCUCACCGUGAUGGGUAUGGUGGUAUUCAUGCAUAUUAGCGAUCUAUAUUAUCUUUUUUUCAUGCAAAAUAUGCUAUGCUACACAUGGAUUUAUCUCUCUUUAGACCAUUGUACUUUAGUUCACAAAGCUUGACUUAAAUAUCGUUGUCAAUCUUUCUUCUUUUUUGCAGCUUUUUUACUUCUUCCUCCUUUAGUCUUAAAUUGCGUGUGGUCCAAUCACAUAGAAGGUUGAUA